AUCUUCGAGAUUUUUCUCUAAAAAAACGCCAUCCCGUCCGAUCUGGCAAGUUAAGCAACGUUGGGCCUCCUUAGUACUUGGAACGGAGACGUCCUGGGAAUCGGCGGUGUUGUAGGCU
rfam:Globodera pallida, Lindley, WGS project CBXT01000000 data, contig: pathogens_Gpal_scaffold_650_contig_1